AACAGAGAAAUGGGAAACUUAUUACAAAGUGAACAUUUCAACUAAACAAUCACAUUAAUUUGAUCUUCUGUCACCUUGCAUAGCAAAAGUCUUUUGUAAUUUCACAUCAUGGGAACUAAUCUAUUACAUGAAAGCAAAGCGAAUCAGAAUUUUAUUGAAAACCAAAGGAAUUAGAUCACUUUUACACAACAGUGAUUCAAAUUUAUAGAGGACUACCUGGUUGUAUAGGAAUCAACUUAGAAAUGCCAAAUGAAGGCUAGAUAAGGAAUGGUUAGAGUACAUCAAAAAUAAAAACAGCAUAUUCGGCAACCAGCAACAGUGAUUUCGAAAUUAAAUCCUUCUCUUAGAACCCAGCGAGUGAGGAGUAAACAAUCCCAAGCAAGAAUACCUUUGAAAUCCUAAUUCUCCUCUUCUUUGUAGAGCUUUUGAUUUUCAUAUCUCUUUUGAGAGUUUUUGAAUUUUUUUUUUUUUUGGAAAGUUUGUUUUCGGGAUGAUGACGAUUGCUCCUCCGUCCCUUCAGAUGUGUGUGUAUAUUCUUUUAGAAAAAAGGGUGUGGGUAUGAGAGAGUGAAUAAGAAAAAGAAAGAGUCGGCUAGUUGUUUUUUAGGGAGGGGGUCUCAUCUAGCGUUCUAGUGAAGGGAAGAAGAAGGAGCCGCCAUGGGUGUUCUAUUGCUGAGAGCUUUUUAGAGGAUGGGACGGCUGCUGCUCGUUUCUUCAAGAGGGGGGGGUCUG
rnacentral:lncRNA from 1 species